GAUGAACGCUGGCGGCGUGCCUAAUACAUGCAAGUCGAGCGAACGGACGAGAAGCUUGCUUUUCUGAUGUUAGCGGCGGACGGGUGAGUAACACGUGGAUAACCUACCUAUAAGACUGGGAUAACUUCGGGAAACCGGAGCUAAUACCGGAUAAUAUUUUGAACCGCAUGGUUCAAAAGUGAAAGACGGUCUUGCUGUCACUUAUAGAUGGAUCCGCGCUGCAUUAGCUAGUUGGUAAGGUAACGGCUUACCAAGGCAACGAUGCAUAGCCGACCUGAGAGGGUGAUCGGCAACACUGGAACUGAGACACGGUCCAGACUCCUACGGGAGGCAGCAGUAGGGAAUCUUCCGAAAUGGGCGAAAGCCUGACGGAGCAACGCCGCGUGAGUGAUGAAGGUCUUCGGAUCGUAAAACUCUGUUAUUAGGGAAGAACAUAUGUGUAAGUAACUGUGCACAUCUUGACGGUACCUAAUCAGAAAGCCACGGCUAACUACGUG
rnacentral:rRNA from 1 species